UCGGGAAUAUUGCGCAAUGGAGGAAACUCUGACGCAGUGACGCCGCGUGCAGGAAGAAGGUUUUCGGAUUGUAAACUGCUUUAGACAGGGAAGAAACAAGACAGUACCUGUAGAAUAAGCUCUGGCUAACUACGUGCCAGCAGCCGCGGUAAUACGUAGGGAGCAAGCGUUAUCCGGAUUUAUUGGGUGUAAAGGGGUGCGUAGACGGGAAUGCAAGUUGGUUGUGAAAUCCCUCGGCUCAACCGAGGAAUUGCAACCAAAACUAUAUUUCUUGAGUGCUGGAGAGGAAAGUGGAAUUCCUAGUGUAGCGGUGAAAUGCGUAGAUAUUAGGAGGAACACCAGUGGCGAAGGCGACUUUCUGGACAGUAACUGACGUUGAAGCACGAAAGUGUGGGGAGCAAACAGGAUUAGAUACCC
rnacentral:rRNA from 1 species